rnacentral:rRNA from 1 species
GUGGGGAAUCUUCCACAAUGGACGAAAGUCUGAUGGAGCAACGCCGCGUGAGUGAAGAAGGGUUUCGGCUCGUAAAGCUCUGUUGUCGGGGACGAAUGUGCAGUAUUUGAAUAAAGUACUGCAAUGACGGUACCUGACGAGGAAGCCACGGCUAACUACGUGCCAGCAGCCGCGGUAAUACGUAGGUGGCAAGCGUUGUCCGGAAUUAUUGGGCGUAAAGGGAGCGCAGGCGGGAAGGUAAGUCGGUCUUAAAAGUGCGGGGCUCAACCCCGUGAUGGGAUCGAAACUAUCUUUCUUGAGUGCAGGAGAGGAAAGUGGAAUUCCUAGUGUAGCGAUGAAAUGCGUAGAUAUUAGGAGGAACACCAGUGGCGAAGGCGACUUUCUGGACUGUAACUGACGCUGAGGCUCGAAAGCCAGGGGAGCGAACGGGAUUAGAUACCCCUGUAGUCC